GUUCCUGUGGCCUAAUGGUUAAGGUUUUGGACUCCGAAUCCAAAGAUUGUGGGUUCAAGUACCACCACAGGAACA